rnacentral:rRNA from 1 species
CAAGACCUGCGCUUUUGGAGCGGCCGAUGCCUGAUUAGCUUGUUGGUAAGGUAAAAGCUUACCAAGGCUUCGAUCAGUAGCUGGUCUGAGAGGACGACCAGCCACACUGGGACUGAGACACGGCCCAGACUCCUACGGGAGGCAGCAGUGGGGAAUUUUGGACAAUGGGGGCAACCCUGAUCCAGCCAUGCCGCGUGAGUGAAGAAGGCCUUCGGGUUGUAAAGCUCUUUCAGCCGGAACGAAACGGUUACGGUUAACACCCGUGACUACUGACGGUACCGGAAGAAGAAGCACCGGCUAACUACGUGCCAGCAGCCGCGGUAAUACGUAGGGUGCGAGCGUUAAUCGGAAUUACUGGGCGUAAAGCGUGCGCAGGUGGUUUUGUAAGUCAGAUGUGAAAGCCCCGGGCUCAACCUGGGAACU